ACUCAAAUGAAUUGACGGGGGCCCGCACAAGCGGCGGAGCAUGCGGAUUAAUUCGAUGCAACGCGAAGAACCUUACCUGGGUUUGACAUAUGGAGAAAUCUCCCAGAGAUGGGAGGUCCGUAAGGGCUCUAUACAGGUGGUGCAUGGCUGUCGUCAGCUCGUGUCGUGAGAUGUUGGGUUAAGUCCCGCAACGAGCGCAACCCUCGUCUUAUGUUGCCAGCACGUAAUGGUGGGGACUCAUAAGAGACUGCCGGGGUCAACUCGGAGGAAGGUGGGGAUGACGUCAAGUCAUCAUGCCCCUGAUGUCCAGGGCUUCACGCAUGCUACAAUGGCCGGUACAAAGGGCUGCGAAACCGCAAGGUGGAGCGAAUCCCAAAAAGCCGGUCUCAGUUCGGAUUGGGGUCUGCAACUCGACCCCAUGAAGUCGGAGUCGCUAGUAAUCGCAGAUCAGCAACGCUGCGGUGAAUACGUUCCCGGGCCUUGCACACACCGCCCGU
rnacentral:rRNA from 1 species